CUCGCAGUUGGAUCCGCCGGGCUAAAAUUCCGGGGUGGGCGCGCUGCACCCUGGGACAUGUGGUUCUCCGAGGGGCACGGGCGGUUCCUGCGAUCUGGCUUUCCCUGGCGUCUUGCACCAGCCCUCCCUUUGUGGGUUGCAUAGUUCCCAGGAACCUGUCAGCUCUUUAGCCUUUUUCCUGCAAAUACAUUUCCGUGAGUGCCGGCUAGAUGAGGCUCACAUGGCCUCAGGUCCGUGCUGCACGCCAUAAGGAAUAGUAGUCCCUAAAUGCAUACGCUUUUGGAGUUGUCCUCUGCCCUCACCGAGAUUGCAAAACGUUAAAGGCAAAAAUGAAUCGAGCCUUUGACGGCAGUGUGCUGAGAGUUUUCCUUGUAAUCGCUCAUGUACUCUUGGCAACUUUAAUUGGUAAGUACCCCGGUCCCAUUUUGCAAACGAGGAAGCUGAGGUCGGAGAACUUAGGUUACAAGCCUCAUCUGCUGGGUUAGAUUCCAACCAGCUUCUGUGACUCAGAAGUCCUCGCAUGUAACCACAAGGGUGAAAUGAAGGAGGGCAGGGGAGGCCUCGCACUUGCUUAAUAAUAGUUAUCUUAAAAGCUCAAUGUAAGGAAAAUAGUGUGAGCUGCAAAGAACGUUUAAUAAAGAUUGGAAAUUGCAAUUUAUUUUGAUCACCCAUUCCCACCGAUUCACAUUGGUAAAAUGAGAAUUAGGUUCCUCUUGAAAAUACACAUCGUUUUUCACACGUGGUAAUUGAGUGGGUAGGUGUGGAGUUUAGGAGCUUGGAUUUGACCUCUAUGACCACAGGAAAUUGCUUUCUCCUCGUGCCCUCAGCAGCUGAGCUGCCUUUCUGGAAAGUUUCUUCCUUGAUUUCUAUCACCUUGCAUCAUCUGCUUUCCUCUCAGACGGACCAUUCAGGUAAACAACCCCUUCCAUGGAGUGAAUGGAAAGAUAAUGCUUCUCUUUACUUCAGUGUCCCUCCUUCUGCCUGAAAAAGCAAUUAUUCUGGAAGCAUGUGCCUGUCAAUUGGAUUACGUUACCUGGGAGGUGGGCUAAAAACAUCAUCUGGCUAAAAUGUUUGCAGAAAUACCAUCAACCCGCUGCCAUUGUGGAUCGUUAGCUUGCGAUCAACCCAAUGACUUUCCACUUGCAAUCCUUUUAUAUUUAUAAAGAUUCCAUAAACACCGUAUUGUGUCAUUUUAAUACUAACAAUUCAACCUCCCCCCCCCAAAGUAGUAAAAGCCUGUUUUUUCUAAGUUAAAAUUAAAAAGUCCCUAUGUCUUUGAAGGAGAGAGUCUCAUAUAGUAUAAAGAUGGUAAAAAAUAAAAGUCUUGAUCAUAGUUCGCA
ensembl:lncRNA